GCUGCGAUGUGUGGCCGCACUGCGGAGAGGCUCGGUGCUCAGAAGUGUGGGUCGUGAGAUUUGUACAAGCAGUGCGGCCCUCAGUGCCAGAGGCUGCAGAGCGACCGGGCUGGGUUCGCUGUUGGCUUUUCUGUCCGGCAGCAUCCCCACGCUGCUGGAACUGCGGACACAUAACGAUUAGCAGAUAUGCUCAACACACUGUGUACAAGUGAAGAAAGUACCACUGGUCUUCAAUAUCAGUGUCUCUCCAGCAGAUCGGUUUGCAGUCAUUAAAAACCACAUUUUUUUUUACAGGCCAGCUGUAGAUGACUCACGGAAAUGGCUACGGUAACUCCUGCCUGGUGGUCAAGUCAACAUGAUCAGAGUGAAUAAGUCAAGGUGAUCUUGACUUGUGGAGCCACAGCUGUUCAGUGAACUGCCUGAGAAACCCCUUCCUUGAGCUGUACAGCCGACGUCUCACCUGUUGUGUCUUCUGGGCAUGUUGUGUGGGAACAUGCACUCUCUUUUGUGUCACCACUGUGAAAGGGUUUUUAUAAACAGGGCAUGUGCUAUCAUCCGCUUCAGUAUACGCAGGAUUCCCGCUGGAUCAGGUUCCUGCUGCCAUUACCACUGCCUGCUCGGUCAGUUGGCCCAUCACCA